UCCGAAUUCGCCCUUCCUACGGGAGGCAGCAGUAAGGAAUAUUGGUCAAUGGACGCAGGUCUGAACCAGCCAUGCCGCGUGAAGGAUGAAGGUCCUCUGGAUUGUAAACUUCUUUUAUAUGGGAAGAAACCCACUUUUUCUUGAGUGGUUGACGGUACCAUAGGAAUAAGCACCGGCUAACUCCGUGCCAGCAGCCGCGGUAAUAAGGGCGAAUUC
rnacentral:rRNA from 1 species